UGGGGAGUUAUCUUGGGGAAUUGUUUAUCUGGCAUUGGGUGCGCCUGUAUCAAUGUGGCCGUCUUGGCGGAUUGUGUAAAUGAAGCCGUGUCUCACGGAUUACCCGAUAAUAUAGUCACAUAUGGCAAUUUGUCAGCAAUAUUUGAUACAUCAAUGGGUCUGGGGAGUUUCAUUGGGCCCUUUAUUGGAGCAGCUAUCGUGGAACAUAAUCCAUUCAGCACGUUAUCGGCAGUCCUUACGGGGCUCUG